AUGAAACUCCCUCCUGUCAACAUGCACACACACACACACACACACACACACACACACAAACAUAAGCGCAUAAAGGUUUUCCAUCCUUUUGAUUCCUCUACAGAGUCACCAGGGAGACCAGUGGAGCCCUGUAAAUCUCUCACAAGUGGCGAUGCUGAGAGACCUCUGCUUAUUGAUCCCAACCAGCCACUCAGAAGAGAUGCCACCAAAUCUGUGGAACAUGCUCCCCUCGCCCACCUGCCACAGUCUCAUCCCCUAAAAGGGGGGCCUGAUAUGCAGACUGGGGUGUGGCAGUCACAGUCCAAGCCGGUGCCAAGAUGCACCACCAUGGGUCUUCACCUCACUGGAUUAUUUUUAUGGGGAUCAGAGCAGAUAGAGGCAGCGGACUCCAACUCCAGAGGCCACAUCACAAUACAUUGCCAUGGUGACUCUUCUAUGGCUCUUCUCAGGAUACGACUGGAAUUCCAUUUGGCGAGGCAGGUGGGUGAUAAGAAACUCCCCAAGGUGUGUAAUACACUCUACUGGACUCAAUGUGUGCAGAGGAAAGGGCCACACCUGCUUCUCCUCAAGUAUCCUGCUUGCCCAGCCAACAUAAAAAAUGAGGCAUUUUCCUCCACCAAGGAAACUGUCAGAAGGGGAGCCUUGUCUGCUUCUGCCGCCCAGUUUGAUUCACCUCAGGAGUUAUCGAAUCUCUACAAUGUGCCCAGGACAGAACUGAGGGUCCCAGGAGCAGUGAGAGCACAGAGGUGGGGCCAGUUCCCGGACCUACAUGCAUUUGGGUUCUUGUGGGAGAGGCAAACAGGUAUGCUGAGACCAGAGCAUAGUGCGACAGAGCUCAUGAGGAUGGUUGGGAAUCUGAGCCAGUGUCCUAGUGGGGAUGAGACCCCUGAGAAAGGGCUCUGCAGGCCAGGGUCAUCGAGGAGGUUCAGGGCAGGGGCAGAGCUUAGGCUGGGGUCACUUCCCUUCCAUUUGUAUCUGUGUGGAUUUCUACUAUGUCUCUGA
rnacentral:lncRNA from 12 species